rnacentral:rRNA from 1 species
GACGAACGCUGUCGGCGUGCUUAACACAUGCAAGUCGAACGGAAAGGCCCUGCUUUUGUGGGGUGCUCGAGUGGCGAACGGGUGAGUAACACGUGAGUAACCUGCCCUUGACUUUGGGAUAACUUCAGGAAACUGGGGCUAAUACCGGAUAGGAGCUCCUGCUGCAUGGUGGGGGUUGGAAAGUUUCGGCGGUUGGGGAUGGACUCGCGGCUUAUCAGCUUGUUGGUGGGGUAGUGGCUUACCAAGGCUUUGACGGGUAGCCGGCCUGAGAGGGUGACCGGCCACAUUGGGACUGAGAUACGGCCCAGACUCCUACGGGAGGCAGCAGUGGGGAAUAUUGCACAAUGGGCGGAAGCCUGAUGCAGCAACGCCGCGUGCGGGAUGACGGCCUUCGGGUUGUAAACCGCUUUCGCCUGUGACGAAGCGUGAGUGACGGUAAUGGGUAAAGAAGCACCGGCUAACUACGUGCCAGCAGCCGCGGUGAUACGUAGGGUGCGAGCGUUGUCCGGAUUUAUUGGGCGUAAAGGGCUCGUAGGUGGUUGAUCGCGUCGGAAGUGUAAUCUUGGGGCUUAACCCUGAGCGUGCUUUCGAUACGGGUUGACUUGAGGAAGGUAGGGGAGAAUGGAAUUCCUGGUGGAGCGGUGGAAUGCGCAGAUAUCAGGAGGAACACCAGUGGCGAAGGCGGUUCUCUGGGCCUUUCCUGACGCUGAGGAGCGAAAGCGUGGGGAGCGAACAGGCUUAGAUACCCUGGUAGUCCACGCUGUAAACGGUGGGUACUAGGUGUGGGGUCCAUUCCACGGGUUCCGUGCCGUAGCUAACGCUUUAAGUACCCCGCCUGGGGAGUACGGCCGCAAGGCUAAAACUCAAAGGAAUUGACGGGGCCCCGCACAAGCGGCGGAGCAUGCGGAUUAAUUCGAUGCAACGCGUAGAACCUUACCUGGGUUUGACAUGGAUCGGGAGUGCUCAGAGAUGGGUGUGCCUCUUUUGGGGUCGGUUCACAGGUGGUGCAUGGCUGUCGUCAGCUCGUGUCGUGAGAUGUUGGGUUAAGUCCCGCAACGAGCGCAACCCUUGUUCACUGUUGCCAGCACGUUAUGGUGGGGACUCAGUGGAGACCGCCGGGGUCAACUCGGAGGAAGGUGGGGAUGACGUCAAGUCAUCAUGCCCCUUAUGUCCAGGGCUUCACGCAUGCUACAAUGGCUGGUACAGAGAGUGGCGAGCCUGUGAGGGUGAGCGAAUCUCGGAAAGCCGGUCUCAGUUCGGAUUGGGGUCUGCAACUCGACCUCAUGAAGUCGGAGUCGCUAGUAAUCGCAGAUCAGCAACGCUGCGGCGAAUACGUUCCCGGGGCU